rnacentral:rRNA from 1 species
AUUGAACGCUGGCGGCAGGCCUAACACAUGCAAGUCGAGCGAGCGGCGGACGGGUGAGUAAUGUCUGGGAAACUGCCUGUUGGAGGGGGAUAACUACUGGAAACGGUAGCUAAUACCGCAUACCAUAAGAUGUGCCCAGAUGGGAUUAGCUGGUAGGUGGGGUAACGGCUCACCUAGGGGACGAUCCCUAGCUGGUCUGAGAGGAUGCACGGCCACCUGGGAAAUGGGACACGGACAAGAGUCCUACGGGAGGCAGCAGUGGGGAAUAUUGCACAAUGGGGGGAAGCAUGAUGCAGCGAUGCCGCGUGUGAGAAGGAGGCGUUCGGGUUGUAAAGCACGUUCAGCGGGGAGGCGUUACCCGCAGAAGAAGCACCGGCUAACUCCGUGCCAGCAGCCGCGGUAAUAC